AGCCCACUUCCUCCUUCCCUCCCGCUCUCCUCCUCCUGGCCGACCAAGACCUCUCGCUCUCGUUCUUCCUCUGGUGCUCCUCCAGCCAUGGCUUCAUGCCCUUGCACCCACCUCUGCAGCACCAAACCCAUAGGGGAAAACCAGCAAAACGGAACGAGGGCGACAUGAGGAAGAAGGAGACGUGUGCAUUCGAUGUAGAUCUGUUUUCCCCCAUCAUUUCCCCUCCCUAGGGUUUCAAGGGUGACAAAGGUGGUAGUACUUCGAGUCACGUCUAAAGCAGCCAUCCCUUCAUCGGAGGCAAGUAAACAUAGCGGUGGUUGCUACUUGCUUUAACUUGUUAUUUAUUCUACCUCCACUUAAUAAAUUCAGAACCACAACUAAUAUAAUAUGAUCUAUUUAACCAUGUUCUAAUUGGGUUGGUAUAUGUUCUAUGGGUUCAAUGUGAAUAUUUAUGUUUCUCUAUUUCGUGGUAAUCUAAAAAGUUAUACAUGACUUCCGUAGUUAUUGGGAAAGGUGUAAGUAUAUUUUUCUUCCUAACCAAUGUAGCUAUGUGGUGGGUAUUUUCCCGUCUACUUUAACAUGAGUGCCUAUAUGCAUAAAAUGUUUGUUAGAUGAUGACUUUUGAUAUUAUGGUUGAUGUUGAUAAAUUAUUUACAUAUAACAUAUACUUAGUAAUUUAUUUUAUGUCAUGUCUUUUCGUGAGUGAAAUCUAUGAAAUGCUUGGCGGUUUACUAAUGAGUGGGCUGGUUAUAGUAGAGGUUAUGUUAAUCUUAAUGUAUGAUAAUCUCUAUGGUGUUUGUGCUACUUAUGUCUCCUAGUGCUAUCAUACAUUGGGUAAAUUGAAGUUUGGAUUACGAAUAAGGUUCAAAGCAGUUUCCUACUAUUCUUUGGUAUAUGUGUUAAAAUGUAAGGAUUGAACUUUGGGUUGACUAGCUCUAUUUAGAAACGUUAUUUUCUUUCUUUGAUAUGAUAGAUAUGCUUCGGGCCUGGAUUAUAAAAUUAGUGUUCUCUAUGUUUAAAUCACUCAUGGCUACAUGUUAUUCUAUUUUCUUAAGAUUAAGGAGAUCUAUAGAUAUGGUGAUAUGGUUAACUAUUUGGUUGAUAUUUGGCAUAUGUGAGAUUACAUUAUUUAAUCAUGAUUGACGCUAUUUAUGUUACAGAAGCACCGUUGGUAUCUCUCUACAUUAAUUAUCAUGGACUAUUCUCUUUUUCCAUCAUGGAGUACAUGGUAUUUGGAUAUUGAGCAUAUGGUAUUUGGAUAUGGCAUUUAUCUUAUGGCAGUGCAUCAUGUUGCAUUGCAUUGGCAUAUGGAGUUAUGUCGUGAACCUAUGGUUCCGACCAUACCGGUACAUUAUCGUUUAUUGGGCAUAACGAUGCAGCUUCAUACCUUGUUGGGUAUGAAGGCAGGAGUUCAUAUGCAUUCAUGUGCAUACAUCAUUUAUUUGGCAUAGAGAUGCAUCUUCAUAUGUAACACCCAAAAUGAACAAAGGGCAAAAUACGCUUUCAACAUGGGGAAGCGUAAAGUUGAUAACCAAAAUUAACCUUUUUUAUCCAUUGCUCGAAUGGAAAAACAGACAUUGUGGUUGCGUAGAGCUCGUCGAAAUAGGUUAAGGGUUUACCCUCGUCGCUGUUCUCAGCACGCUAUCAAUCUGCGUAGUUUAUGUUCCUAGCAGUUUUUCGUGCUAUUAAUGACCUCAGAAAAAUAUUAAACCUUUAUAUGAGUUGGAGAAGACGUCAAGAUCUUUCCGUGGCCACAAAGAAAUCAAAGUUGGAAUCUGACUGUUUUUCAGUCUCGUAAUUCUGGGCAGCGUCUGUUAACAUGAGGUUUAAGAAACUUUAUUUGCAGAAUUGGACUUUCUGUUAGUUAAAAGAGUUGUAGAUAUUUUCACAAGCUUUCCAGAUUGGUAAAGUUCAUAUUCAUACGAAUUUUGGAGCUUCAGUUAUGACUGUUUUAGUAGGACUAUUCUGCAGGAUCUGUCAGAUUGUCAGACUAAGGUUCACCUCAAAUUUACCCUUUGUUGAUGAUUUUUCCUCUAAUUUUGAAUAACUAGAAGGUUGUAGGUUCUGAAAUUAUCUUUCAUGUGGCAAAAUAUCAGAAUUUUUGUCCAUCAGGAUUUAAGGAUACAAAAGGACAAAUUGCAGUACUGCUGUUAUGUCUAGAUUGGAGUGUUUUAUGCGAGGAUGUUGGGUUCGGGCGUAGAAGUACUUUACUCAAUGUAUUUAUUAUGAAGUGUGUUUGUUUUGGUGCUGAGCCAUGUUUGUGAACAGGUGGUGCACCUUUGGGCCAUGCUUAGCUCACGUUCUUGAUCUUCGGUGAAGGCAAGUAAACGUAGCGAUGUGGUCUACUCGCUUUAACUUUGUUACUUGAAUUGACUUCAUUAAAUUUCAGAAGCUCACACUAGCCAAAUAAGAAUUGAAUUUUGCUUUAUCUGUGGAUUUAUAUGUUACCCACUUGUGGCAUUGCUCUUGGAGUUAUAAAUUUUGGAGGUAUAUGAAGUUCAGGCAUUGCAAUCAUACUUUUGCACUCUCAUAUUGAAUAUGCAUAUGAAGAAACCGUAGCCGGAUAGGUGCGGUAAGUACUAGUACAUCAACGCACAUUGAGAUAAAGCAAUGUGGUUGCAGCCCUCCCUUCCUUGGGAUUUGUGGGUAGAAGUGAAGUCAUGCAUUGCAUUGCACCAUUUGCAUGUGCAUUGAAGUAUUGAUAUGAAGUUUUCAUAUAUUUCUCUACCUAAAGUUAUUCGUUGACAGAAGUGAAGUCAUGCAUUGCAUUGUACCAUUGCAUGUGCAUUGAAGUAUUGAUAUGAAGUUUUCAUAUAUUUAACUAUCCGAAAUUAUUCGUUGUCUCAGUAUGAUACUUCUUUUUAUUUGAUUAUUAAUCUGAUGUUUAAUCAAAUUGUGAAUGAAAUAGCUUGGUUAAAGUAGUUUGCUUGCUGAGGUUUUUUCCAUAAACCUCACACUUUGAUUUUCCCCUCACAGUUGCUUGAGCCUUGACGUUGCAUGCUUGGGAUGGGAGUAGCAGCACGUGUGCACUCACUUAUCAAUAUAUGUUGAACAAAUAUUUUAUAAUAAAAUGUUUGGAUGUGGAGACUUUGAUGUUGUUUAAAUUUCUCUCACGUGGUUCUGUUUGUGAAAUGUUUAAUUUGCGAGGAUGAUGACUUAUGGUGUUCUAGGCCAGUGCCAAGGACAACAGUUUUGGAGGUUGUUUCAUGGUGAUUUUAUCAUGUUUUGUUUGGAACCUGCCAUGAUUCACACAAUGUUUCAGAAAUAUGAUGUUAUGAAGCAUAACCCUUA